rnacentral:rRNA from 1 species
AGGGUGUAAACGCUGCAGACUUGGUGUUGGGAACCCUUCGGGGGUGCUCAGUGCCGGAGAGAAGUUGUUAAGUCUGCUACUUGGGGAGUACGUCCGCAAGGAUGAAACUUAAAGGAAUUGGCGGGGGAGCACCGCAACGGGAGGAGCGUGCGGUUUAAUUGGAUUCAACGCCGAAAAACUCACCAGCAGCGACUGUUACAUGAAAGUCAGGUUGAUGACCUCACUAGAUUUUCAGAGAGGAGGUGCAUGGCGUCAGUGACU